UCCAGCGCACUCACCUAUCCACUAAACAGCAACUUCAAUGUUGAAAGAUUUUAUUUGUUUUUUUUAACCCCCAUUAUUUUUGCCUAGAUUAGGUGUUUUUAAAAAAACAAACAAAUAAAAUCUUUCAACAUUGAAGUUGCUGUUUAGUGGAUAGGUGAGUGCGCUGGA